rnacentral:lncRNA from 1 species
GUACAGAAGGGCUGUAAAACAGAUUCUCCAUCUUCAGUCAGAAGGGCUGUAACAGAUUCUCCAUCUUCAGUACCCAGAAGGGCUGUAACAGAUUUCUCCAUCCUUCCAAGGCCAGAAGGGCUGUAACAGUUUCUCCAUCUUCAGUUCAGAAGGGCUGUAAACAGUUUUCUUUUCUCCAUCCUUCAGUCAGAAGGGCCCUGGUUAACAGAUGCUCCAUCUUUCAUUCCAGAAGGCUGUAACAGAUUCUCCAUCUUCAGUCAGAAGGGCCCUGUAACAGAUUCUCCAAUCUCAGUCAGAAAGGGCCCUGUAGACAGAUUCUUCAUCUUCAUCAGAAGGCUGU